AAAUAAUGUUUUUAAUAUUUUGGUUUUCAUGUUUGAGCUUAUAUAUAUAUAUAUAUAUAUAUAUAUAUCUCUAUUUUCAUAACAGUCUGAGUAAUUCUGAUUCCUGAACAGUACACUUUGAAGUGUCAGCUUUGUGAACAUAUGCUGAUUAUGUAUCUAGUAAGAAAGACUCAUGAGCAGCAACCUUUUAAUUUUGAGUAUGUCAUUUGUGUCUCCAUGCUGAAAAUGGGGGUGACCGGUAAGGAGUUAAAAAAUAGUAGGCAGUAUACACUGUGUACUGGGCAGUAAGCAGUAAGCAAGUAUGCCAUUUCGAACACAGCAACAGACUGCCCUUUUCACUCCCUGACAGAAAAGUUCAAUAAAUCAAAAUUAAUUACAUGAAUUAAUAAAUACAUUCUUGUGAAGUAUGAAGUAAAAAAGAUAGCUCAAUAAAUAAAUCAAAAUAAAUCAAAAUACAAUGAUAGUUCAAUAAAUCAAAAUUAAUUACAUGAAUUAAUAAAUACAUUCUUGUGAAGUAUGAAGUAAAAAAGAUUCAAUUGUAACUUUGCAUGUACAGCAAACAUAUUAACUGCAUUAUGUCCUAUUUGAAUCAGAUUAACAAGUUUCAUAUUUACCCUUUCUGUGUAUUUGUUCUUAGCAUCACAAUGGCCACUUGCAGUCCAUACAGCCGUCCAGAGCCAUUCACAUGUAAAUGUGUUGCCACACGUGUCACAAGAAAGGCGGUAGCCUAUGUAAAGUGUGGAGACAAAAUUGAAGCAGAGCAACCCAAAUUAACAGCAUUCAUUGUUAACAGAUGGCAUAAAUACUUACAUGUCAUCUAAGAAUGGUGAGACCCCGGAAUUCGAAGAAGGGGCCAGCUACGUGGUGAAAAACCACACCAUAUCUAGCAAGUAUGGAAAGCCAAGUAUAUUUGUAAAAUCAGCCACAAGCAAAUUUAAAACCUCCCCACUGAGUCUUACUGAAGAUCAGGAGAGAAGAGCCAAAGAGAUCCUUGUUCCACAUUCCCCUCUGGUCUCAGUGGACAAAGUGGACCCUUCUGAAGAAAGGUAUGUCAGUCUCCUGGGAGAGAUAGAGGAAGUAAGUACAUUUAACAGAGGCAUCUCAUGCGUAAUGCAGUGCAGUGACUUAGUUAAAAGAGUUCAUUCUCAUGAACAAAUGCAAAUUUAUUAAACCUUAAAAAAAACAUGUUGUAUGUUUACAAAUCGCUCAUCACUUUGUCGUAGAGCACUAUGCACCAGUCUCAAUCUGCUUAAAGCCAAACACACCUUAAAGGAAUAGUUCACCCAAACAGACAUCCCAACCUGCAAAAAGUCUUUUCAGGGAGGUAUCCCGAAGCUUGUCAACUCACCUCAACAUGCCUUUUGCAAUCAUUUAACCCGCCAUGGGCAAUGCUGAAGUCACUGUUACAAAUAGUGCAGCGAGCAAGACUGUCAUUAUGUUUGACACUUAUAAGACAGGGGUACAUGUCUGCCGUAAAAUGUGUCUUAUAAUUUUUUUUUUUUUUUUUUUUUUGUGGCACUCUCCUUCUGCCGUGGUGCUCCUGUUUCUAGAUAGACAUAACUGAUUAAUUUGGUUCGGGAGAAGAGAUAAAAGCCCGCCCACACUGACAAUUGAUUGGUUGAUUUGCCGAAACAGGCCAAUCAGGAUGCUCUCUGUCUUACAUGCGCUUCGCACACUAGCACACACACGCAAGGUCUCUUGCUCCCUCUCCUUAUAAUGAAUAAUGAGAAUAAUGCAGUUUUUUUUCUUUUAGUGGCAUUUAUCGGUUUUUGCAAAUAAACUCCACAUAAAUGCACA
ensembl:lncRNA